GACAUGUCCGGAAUCCCGAAGAGAUUUGGAGUGCUCGCAAGAGAACCGGAACACAGGUGCUGCAUGGCUGUCGUCAGCUCGUGUCGUGAGAUGUUGGGUUAAGUCCCGCAACCGAGCGCAACCCUUGUCAUUAGUUGCCAUCAUUUGGUUGGGCACUCUAAUGAGACUGCCGGUGACAAACCCGGAGGAAGGUGGGGAUGACGUCAAGUCCUCAUGGCCCUUAUGGGUAGGGCUUCACACGUCAUACAAUGGUCGGUACAGAGGGUUGCCAACCCGCGAGGGGGAGCUAAUCCCACAAAGCCGAUCGUAGUCCGGAUCGCAGUCUGCAACUCGACUGCGUGAAGUCGGAAUCGCUAGUAAUCGUGGAUCAGCAUGUCACGGUGAAUACGUUCCCGGGUCUU
rnacentral:rRNA from 1 species